AUAAAGUAUAAAAUAUAAAUGGCUAUUUUUUGAAACGUUAAAUAUUUAUUAUAUAGCUACUUAAGUUUAACUAGAGUAUUAUGUAACUAAUUCCAUUUUUUAUUAAAACUAGCGCGACUCCUCUUGCGAAGUUACGUUUUAUUUACUAGGUUUAAAAAUUAUUAGAUGGGUACGUGAGGUGACAAACGUGCGUUGUAAUGGCAAGAAUGUUUAUGCCGCGUCGCACUUUAUAGGAUCAACGUCGGAUUAAGUUCUUUAAUUCGAUCACGUUACUCAAGACCCGGAUUUCUUCUUAGAUUUGAAAUACUGUGUCAUUGUUACAACUAUUUUCUAAAUAGGACAUAAAUUUCGCUAAACUGUGUUAAGCACUUUUCACACCAAGAUGAAACUUUUAUUGCCAUGUCUCAACGUUAUAUUUUGUGCGCUUCUACAAAACACUGACUUUCUUUACAAACUUUGAGCUUCGGUAACUUUCAGAAAUUACUAUUCCUGUUCAAAACGGAUUAACUUUUUGAACAGGGACCUUAAAACAGUCGCUGCUAAUCCAACGUGAAUAAUCGGUGUUCACCCUAACGAUCAAAAUGCACAUCUUUUUUAUUAUAGGGAUCAACUGGUCGCAUUUAAUGCUAAAACGCAAAUGCUUCUAAUUAUAUAUUAGAUAAGUAGAUACGUACACUCACCUUUUUUGCACCGCAUAUACAGUCUGGACAUUCCAUUUUUUAGUUACGAACGUAUGCCAUUACAAUUACUUCAAAUUUGUGCUCAUAUACCUGCUUGACAGGGGACGUUCACAGCUGACAUCUUUGUGUCAGUUGGAUUUGUUCAGAAUGGAGUAGCAAUUAGUCAGUAACACCGAUAAUAAGGGGUGUGCGUUUAGGGAAAACAUGGUAUUUUCCAUGAAUUGAAGUACAAUAUCAACACGGUUUAAGCUUUGUAGAUUUGACUAAGUAGGUACUCACCUUUACUCCACAUUGAUGUUUACAAGAUGCCAUAGUCUUGGUGCUAAUGUAACAGGCAGGUAACCAGCUUAAUUUAUUUGCCCAUUUCUACUUAUUUAGUACGAUCAAGUUUGAAAUUGUGGAAAAUAAAAUGUCAAAUAAACAAUCGCAUUUAGGAAGGGAUUUUGACAAGCGGUUGUCAUCUGAACUACUUUGUCUUUGAAGUAAAUGAGCAAAUAUGGCUUAGCAUAGUAACUAAACUGAGGAUGAAGAUGGUUAAUUCCUUGAAGAUAUAAUGAAAGGAGUGUGUGUAAAGUCAUAAAAAGGAUUCUUCCAGUUGCCCUUUUAGGAUUCUCGUGGCUAUGCGCUACAACCGAUAUCCUUCAGUAUCAUCAAAGACUAUCCGGAGGAGGAUAGUCUUUGGUAUCAUUAAGGGUGCCCGUACACGCGCUGGAUUUUGCUGUCGGACCGACCACAUAAUUUUCGUCACUUUCCGGUGAACUGAAAUCCCCAUAUGAAACACUGUACCAUACCAUGAUACAAUAAAUAUAUUUUAUUUAUAUCAUGGUACCAUACGUACUCCGUACCGAUCUCCGCCGAAUGAUCGUGUCAGCUACUGCCGUGGACCUCUACGAUCGCAGCGAAAGGAGGUAACAAUGGACUCUACGUUUGACACAGAUACAUUUAUUGACCUCAACUACCAGUGCGGUUCAUAUGACCGCAAGUCAACCACAAAAAUGUUGUUGGAGCAACCACGAGGCCGAGAUAACCAAAAUGCGGGUCUACUAUUUGCUAAAAGGGGACGCUGUCCCGAGAUUUGCGUUGGGUCCGUUACGCAAAGCGCGCGUCUUCAAGGGGUAGCCGAUUUAAAACGCCCAAAAGUUACCUUCCGCUGCGAAUUUUGUCACACGGUUUCUUAAAUGAAUCACGGUCUCUCUUUCUUGCUAUGAGGAGUUCCCCAAAAAUGGAGUAAUAUUUUGUGGAGGGAUAUUAUCAAAAUCCACUAAAAUAAACCAUUUAUAUGACCGGGGGCGUCAGAAGUGGAUAAUAGAAUACUGAUUUGCCACACAUUUUUUUAUUAUCCAUUCUAAUUUCUUCUCGCACAGGGCUUUUACUGCAUUUAAUAAUCAGUACUUAUUAAAUGGUAGCUGGGGCUGAAAUUACAUUGAAAAUUCAUUUGAACUAUCGACCGAAGAAGAUAUUGAAAUGUAGAACAGCCCUUAACACUCAGUGAUCAUUUACAAGGUUCUCACAUUAUUCUUAAUAUAGUUAAAUUCGUCGGUUUAUUUACAUACAUAUACGGAAAAGGUAUAACAUGCACUAAAAUAAUAAUUUUGGGUACGUUAAUGAAAGUGAAGCAAUUCUGGUAAUUUCUUGAUUUGGGAAGUUUCCUUUAGCACACACGCCAAAUUUUAAAAAUAAAACACAACAUUUUAUAUCGUGUUAUUUCCGUAUGAUAGAAUAGAACGCCUUGCACGAAAUGAAAUCAAAUGAAUACUUGAAUUCCUUCCAUAUUACUCAUUUAGAUUUCGGUCUAGAGAACAGCUAUAGCUUGGUGGGUACUAUGUUAAUCAGGAGUAAUGAGAAAUGACUCAAUAUCCCCUACUAAUAAAUGAUGUGGAAACGUUAGCAAACACACUGAGUGUGACUACUUGACGGUGAUUCCCGGGUAUAUUUUUAAGCUUUGAAGGUUCAGUUAGUGCCCAUCAUAAUACAUACAAAUAUAUGCUUUAUUAUGCAGUAUAUGAACAUACAUACACACCAAAUGCAUAUAUGCAUUACUUCUCAUUUUUGUUUAUUUUAUAAUUAUUGUAGUUGAUAAAAGUAUUAGAUAUUGUUGAUUAAUUGGCAAAACCACAUAAUAUAGUAUCAAAUAAAGUUAUCGUAUUCGCUAGAUUUAUUAUAAUAAAUUUUACUUCAGAAAAUUGUGUUGCAUAUUUGUUUUGGUCCUAUACAUGUGUCUGAGCUCAUAAACCCGUUAUUUUGAUAACGCCUAUAAUAAAACAUUUUGAAAUAUCUCGCCUUCUAGGAAAAUCGUUGGAAGAGCCUAUACUUUAGCGUUUCAAAAAUUACUUAGUACGGUGCCGAACAAUGUAAUUGUGUAAGCAAAGUGUAAAAAAGCUUCAAUUAAAUAUGCAAGUAAAUAAAAUCAAUGAAAAUGUACUUUGCGGCGUCUGCGUACUCAUGCGAAAUACUCAAAAAGAAGGAAAGUUAACCAAAAAAUUACAUAAAUAGAUAGAAAUCACCACGCACCUUGUCU